UCCCUUUGUCUGUGUACCUUCCGUUCUGUUGUUUGAUAAGGUUCAUGAGAGCAAACCGAUGUCUUUUGAAAACCAGGACCAGCACCAAGCACAAUGCCUAGGAUGGUCCACGAAUUUGUCCAUUACUAAUGAACAAACACAUGGAUAAAUGAAUGAAAGUAUGCUGAACACCGAAAAAAAAAGUCCAGAAAUGACCUUGGAGAAGCUACGCAGUAUACAGAAAGCUGCCUCUAGACAUGAGCCGUUUAUCGGUUACCAUUAUGACUGUAAUCCUGAGAAGCGCCAAGUCCGCCCUGGCAAGGGGAAAAGAGGAAGAAAACACAUCAUAAUUAAAAUAAUUAUUAAUUUAA